GACAGAGGUGCCGAGCGUUAGGCGGAAUCACUGGGCUUAAAGCGUGUGUAGGCGGAUCUGUAAGUACCUUGUGAAAUCCCACGGCUCAACCGUGGAACUGCUUGGUAUACUGCGGGUCUUGAGCCACUUAGGGGCAAGUGGAACAAACGGUGGAGCGGUGAAAUGCGUAGAUAUCGUUUGGAACGCCAAUGGUGAAAACAACUUGCUGGGGGUGUGCUGACGCUGGAGACACGAAAGCCAGGGGAGCAAACGGG
rnacentral:rRNA from 1 species